CUUGAAGCAAGGAGCUACAAAAGUAGUGGCAGCUGCACCCUGCAGUAUUACCUAGAAGCAGCAUCAGCACAAACUAUGGCAGCUGCUGCAGGGGGUUGUGGCAACAGCAGAUGCCACAAUUGAAGAUAAAAUUGAGUUAGGUUGGAUUUCAAAUUUGAUUUGAUGGAGGAGAGCUUGAUGAAUGAUUUCUUCAUCAAAAUUUCAGGUUAGUUGGAGUUAAGUGCAGUUUUUGGGAUUGUGAGCUGAAAUUCAGCAUUUUCAUGGAUUUGUGUUAAUUCCCUUAAUUCGAUUUCCCUGGCUAAGCUUUGGUGGAUGAUUGGCUAGUUCUUCUUCCACCUCUUGCUGGUU
rnacentral:lncRNA from 1 species